rnacentral:rRNA from 1 species
AGUCGUACGAGAAAUCCCGAGCUUGCUUGGGAGAGUAAAGUGGCGCACGGGUGAGUAACGCGUGGGUAACCCACCUUCGAAUCUGGGAUAACUCCGCGAAAGCGGUGCUAAUACCGGAUAAGACCACAGCCGUUUCGGCGGCAGAGGUAAAAGCUGACCUCUCCAUGGAAGUUAGCGUUCGAGGACGGGCCCGCGUCCUAUCAGCUUGUUGGUGGGGUAAAGGCCUACCAAGGCAGCGACGGGUAGCUGGUCUGAGAGGAUGAUCAGCCACACUGGAACUGGAACACGGUCCAGACUCCUACGGGAGGCAGCAGUGAGGAAUUUUGCGCAAUGGGGGAAACCCUGACGCAGCAACGCCGCGUGGGUGAAGAAGGCUUUCGGGUCGUAAAGCCCUGUCAGGUGGGAAGAACCGUUUCGAUACUAAUAAUGUCGAAGCCUGACGGUACCACCAGAGGAAGCACCGGCCAACUCCGUGCCAGCAGCCGCGGUAAUACGGAGGGUGCAAGCGUUGUUCGGAAUUAUUGGGCGUAAAGAGCGUGUAGGCGGUUCGGUAAGUCAGAUGUGAAAGCCCUGGGCUCAACCCAGGAAGUGCAUUUGAAACUACCAGACUUGAGUACGGGAGAGGAGGGGGG